UACGAAGGGGGGCUAGCGUUGCUCGGAAUCACUGGGCGUAAAGCGCACGUAGGCGGAUCUUUAAGUCAGGGGGUGAAAUCCCCGGAGCUCAACUCCGGAACUGCCUUUGAUACUGGAGAUCUUGAGUCCGGGAGAGGUGAGUGGAACUGCGAGUGUAGAGGUGAAAUUCGUAGAUAUUCGCAAGAACACCAGUGGCGAAGGCGGCUCACUGGCCCGGUACUGACGCUGAGGUGCGAAAGCGUGGGGGAGCAAACAGG
rnacentral:rRNA from 1 species